rnacentral:sRNA from 1 species
GUAGACCCUGCCAUCGGAGGUCGGCAUCAGUUCGAUGACGCCGUCGCGCGAAUGGCU